AUUUUAAUAAUAAAAAUAAAGUAAUAAUGAUAAAAUUAGUAUAUAUUUUUGUAUGAAUAUAUAAAUAUAGAUAAAUUUAUAUAAAGAACUCGGCAAAUAUAAUGUUCGCCUGUUUAUCAAAAACAUGUCCUUUUGAUGUUUAUUUAAGGUCUAAUCUGCCCACUGAUAUAAAUUGAAGGGCCGCGGUAUUUUAACCGUGCAAAGGUAGCAUAAUCAUUAGUUUUUUAAUUGAAGGCUUGUAUGAAUGAUUGGACGAGAUAUUAGCUGUUUCAUAUAAAAUUUUAUAGAAUUUUAUUUUUUAGUCAAAAAGCUAAAAUUAAUAUAAAAGACGAGAAGACCCUAUAGAUCUUAAUAAUUUAUAUAUUUUAUUUAUAUAGAAAAUUUUAAGUAUUAUAUUUAUAAUUAUUUUGUUGGGGUGAUAAUAAAAUUUAAUAAACUUUUAUAUAAAUUUUACAUUAAUUAAUGAAUAAUUGAUCCAUUAUUAGUGAUUAAUAAAUUAAGUUACCUUAGGGAUAACAGCGUAAUUUUUUUAGAGAGUUCAUAUCGAUAAAAGAGAUUGCGACCUCGAUGUUGGAUUAAGAGAUAAAGUUGGGUGUAGAAGUUCAAAUAUUUAGGUCUGUUCGACCUUUAAUUUCUUACAUGAUCUGAGUUCAAACCGGCGUGAGCCAGGUUGGUUUCUAUCUUUAUUUAAUUGUAAUAUUUUAGUACGAAAGGACCAAAUAUU
rnacentral:rRNA from 1 species